AAGUCGUAACAAGGUUUCCGUAGGUGAACCUGCGGAAGGAUCAUUAACAACAUAUCCUAACUUAAAAACCCUGUGAACUUUCAACCCCAAACGGACGACCCCCUUCGCUUCAGCAAUAGUGAACAGCUUUUGAUUCAGAGACCUCCGAAGAGAUGCUUGGGCAGGCAGCCGUUGGUAAGGCAAGUGACCCGGUACCCUCAAGACCAGUGUUCAAUGAUCUGUCAGUGUUCAUUGACUGGAAUCAAACGUUCUGUCAGUGUGCGUUUGAUUUGCAAGGGUGGCGCAGUAAACGAUCGCUGGAGGCCGACACGGCCGGCGACUGGGUCAGCGAGCUCUGCUCCCACUGUUACUACUUACAAGAUUUCCCAAUUAGUGAAAGCUAUUGGGCUAUAACUAAACGACUGUUAACAAUGGAUAUCUCGAUUCUC
rnacentral:misc_RNA from 1 species